rnacentral:rRNA from 1 species
ACGAACGCUGGCGGCGUGGAUUAGGCAUGCAAGUCGAGCGAGAAAGGGUAGCAAUACCUGAGUAAAGCGGCGAACUGGUGAGUAACAGGUGGGCAACGUGCCCCAAAGUGGGGGAUAACUCCGAGAAAUCGGAGCUAAUACGCAUGUGGCGUCAAGAACCUUGGUUUCUGACGUUAAAGCAGUAAUGCGCUUUGGGAUCGGCCCGUCCCCGAUUAGCUAGUUGGUAAGGUAACGGCUUACCAAGGCGACGAUCGGUAGCUGGUCUGAGAGGAUGGUCAGCCACACUGGAACUGAGAUACGGUCCAGACUCCUACGGGGGGCAGCAGUCUAGAGGCUUCGGCAAUGGGGGCAACCCUGACCGAGCGACGCCGCGUGCGGGAUGAAGGCGUUUUCGUUGUAAACCGCUGUGUAAGGGGAAGAAUGCCCGGAUGGCGAAUCCGGGAGCGACGGUACCUUUACAGAAAGCCCCGGCUAACUCCGUGCCAGCAGCCGCGGUAAUACGGGGGGGGCAAGCGUUGUUCGGAUUUACUGGGCGUAAAGGGAGUGUAGGCGGUUGGUCAAGUCGGAUGUGAAAGCUUCACCACUCAACGGGAAGAGGUCAUCCGAAGCUGGCCGGCUAGAGUAGGGUAGAGGCAAGCGGAAUUCCUGGUGUAGCGGUGGAAUGUGUAGAUAUCAGGAAGAACAUCGGUGGCGAAGGCGGCUUGCUGGGCCCUUACUGACGCUGAGACUCGAAAGCGUGGGGAGCAAACGGGAUUAGAUACCCCGGUAGUCCACGCUGUAAACGGUGAGCGCUAGGUGUGGGGGGUAUCGGCCCCUCCCGUGCCGUAGUCAACACAAUAAGCGCUCCGCCUGGGGAGUACGGCCGCAAGGUUGAAACUCAAAGGAAUUGACGGGGGCCCGCACAAGCGGUGGAGGAUGUGGUUUAAUUCGACGCAACGCGAAGAACCUUACCUGGGCUUGAACCGCUAGGAAAACCCUUGGAAACAGGGGCUGGUAGCAAUACCGUCCUAGUAGGGGUGCUGCAUGGCUGUCGUCAGCUCGUGUCGUGAGAUGUUGGGUUAAGUCCCGCAACGAGCGCAACCCUUGUCGUUUGUUACCAUCAGGUCAAGCUGGGGACUCAAACGAGACUGCCGGUGGUAAACCGGAGGAAGGUGGGGAUGACGUCAAGUCCUCAUGGCCCUUACGUCCAGGGCUACACACGUCCUACAAUGGCCGGAACGACGGGAUGCAAGACCGCAAGGUGGAGCCAAUCCUCAAAUCCGGUCUCAGUUCAGAUUGCAGUCUGCAACUCGACUGCAUGAAGUUGGAAUCGCUAGUAAUCGCGGAUCAGCACGCCGCGGUGAAUACGUUCCCGGGCCUUGUACACACCGCCCGUCACACCACGAAAGUUGGUUAUUCCAGAAGUCGCUGUCGGAACCCGCAAGGGACCAAGGCGCCGAAGGAAUGUCCAGUAAUUGGGGUG